rnacentral:rRNA from 1 species
UGGGGAAUAUUGGACAAUGGGCGAAAGCCUGAUCCAGCCAUGCCGCGUGUGUGAAGAAGGUCUUCGGAUUGUAAAGCACUUUAAGUUGGGAGGAAGGGCAGUAAGCGAAUACCUUGCUGUUUUGACGUUACCGACAGAAUAAGCACCGGCUAACUCUGUGCCAGCAGCCGCGGUAAUACAGAGGGUGCAAGCGUUAAUCGGAAUUACUGGGCGUAAAGCGCGCGUAGGUGGUUCGUUAAGUUGAAUGUGAAAGCCCCGGGCUCAACCUGGGAACUGCAUCCAAAGCUGGCGAGCUCGAGUAGGGCAGAGGGUGGUGGAAUUUCCUGUGUAGCGGUGAAAUGCGUAGAUAUAGGAAGGAACACCAGUGGCGAAAGCGACCACCUGGGCUCAUACUGACACUGAGGUGCGAAAGCGUGGGGAGCAAACAGG